rnacentral:lncRNA from 1 species
UAGGAUAGAUCUAAUCAUGGUAUAUAUUUCAUGAACAUAUGAACUCAAUUUCUAAGCAUUCAUCGUGCUUUCUACGUCUACGACGAAUCAAAUACUAAAGCAAUCCAUAUAUCAAUAAUCAUAAUCCAUUAAAGAGCUAUCUACGAAAUAAUUAUGCAUGGAUCAAAAACAUAUCAGUAAAUAUAAAUCAUUCAAAGCAAAAGUUUAGAGUUUACUUCAAA